rnacentral:rRNA from 1 species
ACCCGCUGAACUUAAGCAUAUCAGUAAGCGGAGGAAAAGAAACUAACUAGGAUUCCCCGAGUAGCGGCGAGCGAAAGGGGAGAAGCCCAGCGCCGAAGCCCGCGGUUCCCUUGACCGCAGUGCAAUGUGGCGUUUCGGCGGCGACUCGCCGCGUCCUCUCUGGCACGAGUAUCUCUGAAUGGGUCUCCCGCAGCGGGUGUCAGGCCUCUACUUGCCAGGCGAGAGGGCGCGUCACGUCGUCGUCGCGGAGUCGGGUUGCUUGAGAGUGCAGCCCAAAGUGGGUGGUAAGCUCCAUCUAAGGCUAAAUACCUAGUGCGAGACCGAUAGCAAACAAGUACCGUGAGGGAAAGUUGCAAAGAACUUUGAAAAGAGAGUUCAAGAGUACGUGAAACCGUUCAGAGGCAAACGGACGGAACUGGGCGAGUUCGUCGUCGUCAUUCAGCCGCGCUCCCUCGGGCGCGCGGUGCACUUGGCGGCGGCGGAGCGCGACGACCGCCUGUCGGGUCGUCAGAAGCCCGGCGGCAAGGUGGCGACGCGCUCGCGCGUCGUGUUACAGGCCGCCUGGGCGUUGGCUGACCUGGCGGGCGAGGAGCGCCUGCGGUGCACUCCCCCACCCCGGUGGCGGGAGUGGCCCGACGCGGUGGGCUUGCGGGCGCCGGCGCCGAACUGCUCGCAGUUUGAUGUCGCGCGCACUGUCUGUCGCGCCGCGCGGUGCCACGGGGCACCCAGGGUCCGGGUCGUGUGGUUCCUGGCACUCCGUCCGACCCGUCUUGAAACACGGACCAAGGAGUUGAGCACGCGCGCGAGUCGAUGGGCUUCAAGAACCCCAGUGGCGCAGCUAAGGCAAAACGGGCGUGAUCCGGCACUGGCGUGUCGGCGCAACGCCGGCCCGCAGCCGACUCGAUGCAAGUGGCUGCGGCGCAAGAGCGUGCGUGCUCAGACCCGAAAGGUGGUGAACUAUGCUUGAGCAGGGCGAAGCCAGAGGAAACUCUGGUGGAGGCUCGCAGCGAUCCUGACGUGCAAAUCGGUCGUCAAACUUGAGCAUAGGGGCGAAAGACUAAUCGAACCGCCUAGUAGCUGGUUCCCUCCGAAGUUUCCCUCAGGAUAGCUGGCACUCGGGAUAAAUGGUUUUAUCCGGUAAAGCGAAUGAUUAGAGGCAUUGGGGACGAAACGUCCUCAACCUAUUCUCAAACUUUAAAUGGGUAAGAGGCGCGACCCUCCCUGAUCGGGGUCGCGUGCUUGAACAGAGAGUGCCCAGUGGGCCGUUUUUGGUAAGCAGAACUGGCGCUGUGGGAUGAACCAAACGCGCGGUUAGGGUGCCUAACGCACGCUCAUGAGAUACCACAAAAGGUGUUGGUUGAUAUAGACAGCAGGACGGUGGCCAUGGAAGUCGGAAUCCGCUAAGGAGUGUGUAACAACUCACCUGCCGAAUCAACUAGCCCUGAAAAUGGAUGGCGCUGGAGCGUGCGACCCAUACCGCGCCGUCGGGGCAACGCGUGCGAAAUGCCAGGCCCCGACGAGUAGGAGGGCGUGUCGGUGGCGUUGAAGCGUAGUGCGCGAGCACGCGUGGAGCCGCCUUCAGUGCAGAUCUUGGUGGUAGUAGCAAGUAUACAAAUGAGAACUUUGUAGACCGAAGUGGAGAAGGGUUCCAUGUGAACAGCAGUUGGACAUGGGUCAGUCGGCCCUAAGAGAUCGGAAAAUUCCGUUCUGAACGGGGGAGGCGCGUCGCGUGCGGCCGUCUGAACGGCUCCUGGCUCUGUGUGUGUGUGCCGCUCCGCUAACCUAUUUAUAGGCGCGGGGCGCGCGCGCGCGCGGCCGGGGCGCGGUGUCAGCACGCGUGAGCUCACGUCACCCCGAUGCGAUCGAAAGGGAAUCGGGUUAAUAUUCCCGAACCUGGCAGCGGAGAUUGGGCCCUCGGGCCCCAGUGCGGUAACGCAACCGAACUCGGAGACGCCAGCGUCGAUCCCGGGAAGAGUUCUCUUUUCUUUGUUAGGAGCGGACUCCCUGGAAUUGGCUUGUCCAGAGAUAGGGACGUUGCAUCCGUAAAGCGUCGCGCCUCACGCGGCGUCCGGUGCAUCGGCGUUGGCCCUUGAAAAUCCGAGGGAGGCAGUGUAAUUCUCGCUCCAGGCCGUACCCGAAUCCGCAGCAGGUCUCCAAGGUGAACAGCCUCUGGUCGAUAGAACAAUGUAGGUAAGGGAAGUCGGCAAAUCCGAUCCGUAACUUCGGGAUAAGGAUUGGCUCUGAGGUGCGGGCUGCUUCGGGUCGCGGCAAGAAGCGGACCGUGCGUUGGUUGGACUGGGCGCGUCUCGGCGCGUUCGGACCGCCGCCAGCGCGCGUCCGUGGGAGGCCGUGGCUUUCGCCGGCGUGGCCUCGCGGCCGCGUCGGCUUCGUUCGGCCUAAACGCACAGCACAGAACUGGCACGGACUCUGGGAACACGACUGUCUAAUUAAAACAAAGCAUCGCGAUGGCCGCUGGUCGGUGUUGACGCGAUGUGAUUUC